GUGGGGUGGGGCUGGUUGUGGGCCAGGGACCUUUCUGAUGGACUCUGUCUGCCUUCCAGGGCAACAUCAACAAGAGGAGGAAGGAGGUCCGAGUUCUGCAGGAAAUGCAGCUGCUCCAAGUGGCUGCCAUGAAUUACAGGCUUCGGCCUCUUGAGAAAUUUGUCACCUAUUUCAAAAGAAUGGAGCAACUCAGUGACAAGGAGAGGUGAGGGCCUAGCAGACAGGCAGAGGGUGGGAGAAGGCUCUCCAUUUUUUUUUUAACAUGGUCUAGCUCUGCACCCAGGCUGCACUGCAGUGUCGCCAUCUCUGCUCACUGAAACGUCUGCCUCCUGGGCUCAAGACCUUUGUCAGCCUCCCAAGCAGCUGGGACUACCGCUGUACAUCAUGUCCCAGGAUAUGGUACAGCAGGUACAGACACCAUGUCCUGUUGUUCUGCUCUUGUUGUUCUGGUA
rnacentral:lncRNA from 10 species